AACGAACGCUGGCGGCAUGCCUAACACAUGCAAGUCGAACGAGACCUUCGGGUCUAGUUGCGCACGGGUGCGUAACGCGUGGGAACCUUCCCUUAGGUUCGGAAUAACUCCCCGAAAGGGGUGCUAAUACCGGAUAAUGUCUUCGGACCAAAGAUUUAUCGCCUUUGGAUGGGCCCGCGUUGGAUAAGCUAGUUGGUAGGGUAAAAGCCUACCAAGGCGACGAUCCAUAGCUGGUCUGAGAGGAUGAUCAGCCACACUGGGACUGAGACACGGCCCAGACUCCUACGGGAGGCAGCAGUGGGGAAUAUUGGACAAUGGGCGAAAGCCUGAUCCAGCAAUGCCGCGUGAGUGAUGAAGGCCUUAGGGUUGUAAAGCUCUUUUACCCGGGAUGAUAAUGACAGUACCGGGAGAAUAAGCUCCGGCUAACUCCGUG
rnacentral:rRNA from 1 species